rnacentral:rRNA from 1 species
UACGGGGGGAGCAAGCGUUGUUCGGAAUUACUGGGCGUAAAGGGCGCGUAGGCGGCCUUCUAAGUCGAACGUGAAAUCCCUGGGCUCAACCCAGGAACUGCGUCCGAUACUGGAAGGCUUGAAUCCGGGAGAGGGAUGCGGAAUUCCAGGUGUAGCGGUGAAAUGCGCAGAUAUCAGGAGGAACACCGGUGGCGAAGGCGGGUCUCUGGGCCGAUACUGACGCUGAGGAGCGAAAGCGUGGGGAGCGAACAGG